CACAAUUAUUUAAUUAUUGUUAUAAUAAUAUCAAGUCAAUUAUUGGUGAUACAGUACAUUAUUUCAUUUUCAUUAUUUGUUUCUUUGAACACUGAAAGAAGUUGGCAGUCAUGAAUAUAAACCAAGUUAAUUCCAUUUAUUUUAGAAACAGUCAAGAAUGCACAGCUAUGCGGGAAGAGUACGGAAAGUGGGAUUUGGACGAUUUUUAUUUUAAAAUCGGUUCAGAAUAGUUCACUCUCAUUCGUACAUUCGUUACUCAAUCUCAAUGUUAGGCAAAGUUCAAUCAGCCAAAAAAAGGUUCAAUCAUCCGAAAGAGUAAGGUGAUACUAAAAUACCUUCCUGCUCCUCUAUGUUUAGGGAAGUCACCCAAUUAUUGACUAUUUUUUAUAGUGAGUUAUUCUCAAAUUGUCUGGAUUUUCUAAAUAUACGGGCAGUUUUUGAAAAAGGAACUGCAUUUUGUAAUGUGACGAAGUGGAGGAAAAUUUCUAGUAAGUCUAGGGUUGCCGAUACCAAUAUUUAAAGCUCCUCUUGUGUUAUAAUUGUGAAUGAUAUUAGAAAAUGUAGCUACUUUGUGUUUGAAUAUGUAGAAGGUUAGGGUUUUUAUAUAAAAUUGUUGUACAUUUAAGUACACCUUAUAUUCUUCAAAGAGAUAAUCUGAUGGAUAUUAUGUUAGUGGUUUGCGUAAGACACUUUUCAUUAUAAGUUUCUGUACAUUUGAUAAAGGAGUCAAUGUUGUUUUGAAUGUACCACCCCAAGCUAUAAUACCAUACUGUAAGAUGGAUUGGAUGUAAGCAGAAUAAACUUGUUUUAUUAUAUUGGGUGUAAGGAUUCCGCUUAAAGAUGCAAUAUCAAUGUUUGGUUUUCGUAAUUCAUCUUGUAUCGAAAUCUUGUAUCAUGUAUUUGGAUUAAUAUGAGAGACAAAUAUGUUGAAGCGACACAGCAAUUUUUGAAGAGUAAAUUUUAAUUUCAAAUAGUAACCUCAAUGAAACCUACUGUCAAUAUUAUUCUUGGAGAAUAAAUAAUUAGCUGUUUCCAUGAUUUUCACCAACUGUGUAUAAUUAAAAGUUGCUGGUUUCAAAGAUUACAAUACAACAGUUCUUGAGCAAGUACUCCAACCCAGAGGGUAACUAGUUUAAAUAUUCUCGAGCCUGUUGAAUAGAUUAAUUGAAUGGUCGUGCUUUUGUCAAGUUGCAAAAAGAAUAAAAACGGAUUCCCACAUAUGAUAUAAGGAUCAAUAUCAAUGAACAUACAGUGUCCGGUACAGUGAUAAUAUUAUUCCAAUAAGUUCUACUGGGACCAUUUAUACUCGCUCAACCAGACUUAUAUAAAAUUAUCAAAUCAAAUUCAAAUCUUAGCUUAUCUAUUAUUUUCAUGAUUCAAACAUUCAAAUUCAAAAUUCAAAUUUCAUUUAAUGCCCAAUACACAUUAUACAAAAUAUUGUACAGGCACUGUCAAUAUACAUAAAAAUCAUACAACUUAACACUAAACAUAAAAAAGUAUCACAUCACUGUCCAACCUAAUGCUAAAAUACUGUUCUUUGUAUUCAUUGUAUUGUUAUCAAUUUAGUUACAAAUAGAUUAAUUACAUAGUUUAGUUACAUAAUUUGAUGAAAUAAAUUUGAUUUAUAUUUAGACUGUUUUGAGAAUCGAACUGACUCUGUGAUAAAGGUAUCAAUAGAGAUAAUAUUUCGAUAGAGUAACCCCUCAACCUUCCCCCUUAGCAAUCCGCCAGCCAGCCGUCAUCAUCUCAACCAGUCUGCCUACAACUUCCGUGCGAAACGUGUCCCAACGCCGUCUCAAACGCAAGGUAAUUAUUGGCCGCCUGCCAGUGUUAAUAAUUAUUUGUAUUGUCUGGAACUCACAUGUAAAAUCGCGGUCCUCCGUAUCAAGUAACCCCUCAAAAUCCACACGAGCCAGGAUAUGAACCAGUAUAGAAAAAUCAUAGUUUUAAUCUCGUUUCGUUAGUUUUCAAACCUCAUGUUUCAAGUUGUUUUUCCGUUAAAAAGUGUGUUCGAGUCGUGUGUGUGUGUGAGUGUGUGUUUCAAUCAGUUAUUCAACUCAAAAUUCCAAAUACCUCCAUUAAAUUGAGGAAAGGAGUAGAAAGUUAUUUAAUUUCAAAGUUUUUUAAAGUGUUCAAUUUAAUUGCUUGGUGUUCGCCAUAUUUUGUACAAGACAUUUCAUGUUGCAAAUUCCAUUUCUUAAUUAUCGUGACGUCAUAGCUCGGUUGUGCGUUUGAUUCAACUUCCCCCUCCCGCGUCUACCGCGCCGGUCUGCAACCACCUGUCCUGCCUCGCUUGACCAUCAGCUUCAUGCCUGUUGAACGGAGAGUCUCCAUCGAGAUAAGUUAUCGCUGGUGGCUUGCAUUACGAUUUGAAAAAUAAUUGCAAUGGCAGCAGUUUGACUGUUCGAGUGACCAAUGAUGACUUUGAAGCAGCCAUUCAACAGCUUCAGUCGAGUAAUUAGCCAUGACAAGAAAUUAUUCUUUGCAAAAAUUAUAA
rnacentral:misc_RNA from 1 species